GAUCUAGGUGAUGGUUAAGUCUAAGACAAAGGAGGAGUAAAAUCAUCAAGGAAAGCAGGAGAGAGGGAAGGAAGUGGAAAGCAGACAAAAAAAAAAAAAAAACAACAGCAGCUGUAGAAGCCUGAGAAGAUGAGAGAGUCAAGUCCUUAGAGGGACUGAAAGCAGAGACAUAACGGCACAAAACGAGAUGGGAAAGUGACGGAGCAAUACAUGAGUCUGUAAUGAGUGUAAUUGAUGCCUUUGUUUUCAAAUGAGAUAUUUCUGGAGUGAUAAAUCUGGAUCUAUGGAUCUUACAUAAGGGAUUUAGGUGGGCAGCAGCACUUGGUUAUUUACAAGUUCAGGAUCCUGUUUAUAAAGCAAGGAAAGAUUGCUAUCUGUCUCCAGCACUAUGGCGAGAUAAUUAAUAGGAGCACUGCUGGAGACUGAUAGUGCAGGCGGCCGAUACCCAUGGCAGGAGCUCUCGUCAUCUAACUGCCACAGAAUUGUGAAGGUAAAGAAUCUGCAGAAAAGUGGAACAUUCAUUUUUACUAAAUAAAUGCAUUAUCUAUAGCACACAUUAUAGAGUUUUGUUGUUGUUGUUGUUAAUCUAACAUGUAACAGAAAUAAAAGAGAUUGUUUCUAAACCACUUUAAACUGUUCUGGCAACUACCUUAGACCCUUCUGGCGAAGCAUCUCUAAAGAAGACCAUUGACAGCCACUAUCAGUAGCAGCAGCAGUGGGCAUGUGUCCUCGCUUGCCACCCCACAAAAAAGCAAACAAACAAAAAUCAUUCCCAGAUGAAAACUACGAAGUUGUAAACUAUAAAAGGGAAGAUUAAACAUUGUCUGUGUGUUCUCUAACAUCCAUUUGAUUUAUAGUUUUUUUUUUUUUCCUUUUUUGACAGAAGUUGGUCUUAUCCCAUUUUCUCAGCAUAAAAAUAACAAUUCUCUUAUAAGGCAGUUUUACGCAGCAUUAACAGAGCAAAGAGUAAACUUUGUUUGCUUUAAUAAUACUAAAUUGUAACAUCAUAUUUUCUAUUUGCAAAUGUUUGUCCAUCUACUGGAUGUAUAAAUCUUCGUAGUGACAAAAGUAUGUUUGAUUUAUUUAUAAUGGUCAAUGGAAGGGCUAUGAAAUUGUGUAUUAAGCUACUAUGAGAAAAGCGGCAUGGCUCAAAUAAUCAUCUUUAUAUUCAGCAUGCUUCAGGCAAUCACUAAUUUUUGAGAAAUCUAUUGUUCUCUAGUUUUUCCCAAGUACUCAUUUCCAACCUCAUUCCAUCAGGUAUUCUCUGAGGAGUCUUAUCCCUAUGACUUGCUCAAAGCAGAUAUUGUCUAUUUUUUUUGUCUAUUAAGAAAAUAACAAAAUUUUAAAACCAAAUAAGAUCUUGGCUAAGAUACCAUAUGAAAGGUGAAUACACACAGACCCAAACAAGUCCAAAAGAUUGCCUGUCAUAAAGUUAAAACUGGAAUCAGAACUGGCAACCUGGACUUCUGACUUGUGAUUCAGGAUAUAUUUCACCAUCUAGACUGCUACGCAGUCUCAGAAAAAAAAAACAAAAAAAAACUUAGAUUGAUUUCAAAGAGGCCACCACACAUGUAUUCUUUCUUCCAAAGCCUUGUUUUAUUCUUACCUUAUUCUUCAACCUCUAGUAUACACAUAUACAGCUCAUAAUUGAAAUGAUGUAUUUUCCUGUCCUUAUGCUAAACAAUUUUAGGAGGUUUUUUUCCUGUUUUGGGGUUAAAAAGUACUAAAAUUAGGCAAGAUCAUUUAGCUGCUUUCUUUAGGAAAUACUUGCUUCUUGAAGACCUCGAAGCAACUGAAUAGAUCUCUCAUCAGGACUUACAGCUUACUCUUCAGUACUUGCCUGAAUACCAUCUCCUCUCUAGCCCCUCAAUCCACAGUUAUUAUACCAUUAACUACCUAAUCUGAACUGGCUCCUUGAAUUGCAUGGCUCGAGUUAAAACUUCUCGCAUUUAUUAUGAAAUAAUUUUUAAAUGAAACCCUAUAAAUAUCGGUCUAUUUUUUCUCCCUUCUGAUUAAGACUGUCAUGAUGGUGUUAUCCCACUAUUAGAGUUCUCCAGAUAAAUAGAAACAAUAGGAUGUGAAUUUAUAUAUACAGAGACAUUUAUUUUAAGAAGUUGGCUCAUGCAGUUGUGGAUGCUGGAUAGUCCGAAAUCUGCAGGGUAGGUGGGCAAGCUGGGAACUCAGAGAAGAACUGAUGUUGUGCUUCAAGUUCAAGGCUGUCUACUGGUAGAAUUCCCCUUAUCUAGAGGGAGGUCACUCUUUUUCUUAAGGUCUUCAACUGAUUGGAUGAGGUCCACCCACCUUGUGGAUGGUAAUCUGCUUCAUUCAAAGUAUUCAAUGUUAAUCUCAUCUGAAAAUACCUUCACAGCAAUAUCCGGAUGUGUUUGAUUAAAUAUCUGGGAUGUGGUCUAGCCAAACUGACACAUGAAAUUAACCAUUGCAUCCUUUGUAGCAAUGAAUAAAAUAAAUUCCAUUUUACUGGAACAACAAUUUUUCUGGUGGCCUUUCUGAGAAGUUGACAGCUGACAUGUUUCUAAGCAUUAGGUCUAUAUAAAACUGAUAAAGACAAUACAGUUUGUUGGUUAACUAUAGAAUCUAAAUAGGUGAUAAGAUUCAUGAGAAAAGUUUCUUCUGUUUUGUGAAUUGUAAUAUUCUCAGUGCCUAAAACAAUUCCUAACAAAUAGCAGGUACCAGUAGGUAUUUGAAAAAAGCGUAAAUGGGCCGGGCGCGGUGGCUCCCGCCUGUAAUCCCAUCACUUUGGGAGGCCGAGGCGGGUGGAUCAAAAGGUCAGGAGUUCGAGACCAGCCUGGCCAACAUGAUGAAACACCAUUGUUACUAAAAAUACAAAAAUUAGCUGGGCAUGGUGGUGGCUGCCUGUAAUCCCAGCUACUUGGGAGGCUGAGGCAGGAGAAU
ensembl:lncRNA novel transcript, antisense to CDH12